rnacentral:rRNA from 1 species
GAUGAACGCUGGCGGCGUGCCUAAUACAUGCAAGUCGAGCGAACAGACGAGGAGCUUGCUCCUCUGACGUUAGCGGCGGACGGGUGAGUAACACGUGGAUAACCUACCUAUAAGACUGGGAUAACUUCGGGAAACCGGAGCUAAUACCGGAUAAUAUAUUGAACCGCAUGGUUCAAUAGUGAAAGACGGUUUUGCUGUCACUUAUAGAUGGAUCCGCGCCGCAUUAGCUAGUUGGUAAGGUAACGGCUUACCAAGGCAACGAUGCGUAGCCGACCUGAGAGGGGGAUCGGCCACACUGGAAGUGAGACACGGUCCAGACUACUACGGGAGGCAGCAGUAGGGAAUCUUCCGCAAUGGGCGAAAGCCUGACGGAGCAACGCCGCGUGAGUGAUGAAGGUCUUCGGAUCGUAAAACUCUGUUAUUAGGGAAGAACAAAUGUGUAAGUAACUAUGCACGUCUUGACGGUACCUAAUCAGAAAGCCACGGCUAACUACGUG